CUAGCCAGAUGCUGAAAUACUGGACUAGGACUAAGGUUUAAUAUGGCACAGGAUCUCUGGACAUUGACUCUAUUUCUGGACCUGAUUUUCAU